GGGUCGGGACAGUCCCUCUGGGGUGGCCCAAGCAGGGCACAGGGCGGGGAGCCAGGCUCUUCAGGGCCCCACCACAGGCUGGCCCUGCACCCCAUCCUGCCUUCUCUCCCCACUGUGGGCCCAGAACUUGCCCCGUGGGGGCCGGGAAGCACCCACCACCCCCACCCCUAGCUGCUCUCAGCCAGAGCCCAGCUGGCCUUGCAGGAUUGAUUUUCCAGCAAAAAACAACAGCAGAGAAACCCAAGAGCAGCUGCAUGAGCCCUCCCAGGCCUCCCCCCGCAGCCAGCACUCCCUGCAGCAAAGAAAACCAUCUGGCCACUGGGCCCUGAGCCCGGCGCCCGGAGGAGGACCUGCUCCCCAGGCUCUGCUCCCCAGGCUGGCCCUGGGCCUCUCCCGGCCUGACCCGCUCCCCUUGGCAUCAAGGCCCAGGAGGGACGGGGUGGCCCGGCCAGGGCGUGGGUGUUCCCCGGCCCCUCUGAGCACCAGCACCUGCCACAGGGACAGGCCAGGCCUCACAGCCAAGAGCCCCGGGAAGAGCUGCAUGCACACGGCUGGAGAGAGGCUCUGCACCCGAGCACAGCCUGCUGCGACUCCUCAUAGACUCGGAAAAUUGAUUCGAAGGCAGAG
rnacentral:sRNA from 1 species